GGGUCGAUGGCGUAGCUGGUUAUCCACUGGUUGACGUUCACAGAAGUUCCUCAGUUCGAACCUGGGUCGACUCA